GGAGUUGGUCAGACAAUCGCCGCUUUAUGACUCGGUAUUUAUAUCGAGGUUAUAGAGGGGAGGAAAGUCCGGGCUCCACAGGGCAGGGUGCCAGGUAACGCCUGGGAGGCGCAAGCCUACGACAAGUGCAGCAGAGAGAAGACCGCCGAUGGCUUUUUCGGAAGCACAGGUAAGGCUGAAAGGGUGCGGUAAGAGCGCACCGGACGACUAGUAAUAGUUCGUUGCAGGGUAAACUCCACCCGGAGCAAGACCAAAUAGGCUUUCUAUAGGCGUGGCCCACGCUGAAAGCGGGUAGGUUGCUUGAGUCUGUGAGUGAUUGCAGACCUAGAGGAAUGAUUGUCCACGACAAAACCCGGCUUAUCGACCAACUCCAAGA
rnacentral:RNase_P_RNA from 16 species